rnacentral:lncRNA from 10 species
UUCACAUAGUUUGAAAACGUCGCUUAUAAAAUAUUGGCACCAACGGACUGCACUAGAGCCCCACCCAACGAUGAGUGUUUGUCACGGUCCUAGAACAGAACAGCACAUGUUAAGGAAUGAAGAGUGUACCCGUGUCGGCAAUGGCAACGCGAUCAGGAGUAACAGCCUAGAGUUAGCUGCCUCCAGUAACCCGAUUUUAAUCGCCCGUUAAAUACCCUUUUUGCCUUUUCCAGAAUGUCAUGAAAAUGGAAUCAGACCGUAUGUAGCCUUUUGAGGAUAGAGGAUCUCCCCCACCACCCCAACUCCAGUGAGCUUUCAGAUGAGAUUGUAGCCCCAGAUGACAAUAGGGAGUCUCGCUCUGUCACCCAGGCUGGAGUGCAGUAGUGUUAUCACUGCUCACUGUACCCUUGAACUCCUGGGCCUAAGCAAUCCUCCCACUUCUGCCAGGCCUGAGUAGCUAGAAUUAUAGGUGUGCACCACCUAAUUGUUUUUAUGUAGUCUGUUGAUACGGUGAAUUAUAUUGAUUUUUAGAUGUUGAACCAACCUUUUGUUCCUGGGAUAAACCCAACUUAUUUAUGAUUUUAUCAUUUUAAUGUAUUGCUGGAUUUGAUUAGUAAUAUUUUAUUGGAAAUUUUUACAUUCAUGUUUUGAGAGAUAUUGAUGUAUAGUUUUCUUGUAAUAUCUGCUAAUUUUGGCAUCAGGAUAAUGCUGAUCUCAGAAAAUGAGUUGGGAAGUGUUUAUCUUCCCUUUUAUUUUCUAGAGAUGUUUACAUUAAAUUGGUAUUAUUAAUUCCUUAAAUGUUUGGAAGAAUUUUUUUUGUUUUUU